GCCUGAUCCAGCCAUGCCGCGUGCAGGAUGACGGUCUUAUGGAUUGUAAACUGCUUUUGUACGAAAAAAAACACUCCUACGUGUACGACCUUGACGGUCCGUAAGAAUAAGGAUCGGCUAACUCCGUGCCCCAGCCGCGGUAAUACGGAGGAUCCAAGCGUUAUCCGGAAUCAUUGGGUUUAAAGGGUCCGUACGCGGUUUAAUAAGUCAGUGGUGAAAGCCCAUCGCUCAACGGUGGAACGGCACUUGAUACUGCUGAACUUGAAUUAAUUUGAAGUAACUACAAUAUGUAGUGUAGAGGUGAAGUGCAAAAAGAUUACCUGGAAUACCUCUUGCGAACGCAGGUUACUACUAAGGGAUUGACGCUGAUGAACGAAAGCGUGUGUAUCGAACGGGAUUACAUACCCUGGUAGUCCACGCCGUAAACGAUGGAUACUACCUGUUGGAAGCAAUUUCAGUGGCUAAGCGAAAGUGAUAAGUAUCCCACCUGGGGAGUACGUUCGCAAGAAUGAAACUCAGAGGAAUUGACGGGGGCCCGCACAAGCGGUGGAGCAUGUGGUUUAAUUCGAUGAUACGCGAGGAACCUUACCAAGGCUUAAAUGUAGAUUGACCGGUUUGGACACAGAUCUUUCUCA
rnacentral:rRNA from 1 species